UAAGAAAUCCGGCCUGUUGAUGCUUUUUUUGCAACCGCAGAAAAAGGGUAGGAAAGUCCGGACACCGCAGGGCUGCAUAGCGGAUAACAUCCGUCCGUAGUGAUACGAGGACCAGUGCAACAGAAAGAAUGUACAGUUCGGCUGUAGUGAAACCAGGUAAACUCUAUGUGGUGCAAUGAUAAGUAUAUCGGCAAUUAAGGGCGGCCCGUCCAAUGCCGAGGGGUAAUCAGCUCAAGUUUUGCAGCAAUGUAAAACGCAGAUAAAUAACAGGCAUCCCGGCAACGGGAGAACAGAAUCCGGCUUACAGGGUUUCUUAUGUU
rfam:Chryseobacterium sp. SCN 40-13 ABS44_C0032, whole genome shotgun sequence.